rnacentral:rRNA from 1 species
AUUGAACGCUGGCGGCAUGCUUUACACAUGCAAGUCGAACGGUAACAGGCCGCAAGGUGCUGACGAGUGGCGAACGGGUGAGUAAUGCAUCGGAACGUGCCCAGUCGUGGGGGAUAACUACUCGAAAGAGUAGCUAAUACCGCAUACGAUCUAUGGAUGAAAGCGGGGGACCGUAAGGCCUCGCGCGAUUGGAGCGGCCGAUGUCAGAUUAGGUAGUUGGUGGGGUAAAGGCUCACCAAGCCAACGAUCUGUAGCUGAUCUGAGAGGACGACCAGCCACACUGGGACUGAGACACGGCCCAGACUCCUACGGGAGGCAGCAGUGGGGAAUUUUGGACAAUGGGCGCAAGCCUGAUCCAGCAAUGCCGCGUGCAGGAAGAAGGCCUUCGGGUUGUAAACUGCUUUUGUACGGAACGAAACGGCUCUGGUUAAUACCCGGGGCUAAUGACGGUACCGGAAGAAUAAGCACCGGCUAACUACGUG